UAACGGCGAGUGAACAGGGAUUAGCCCAGCACCGAAGCCUGCGUCCGUUUGGGCGUUGGGCAAUGUGGUGUUUAGGUUGGUGCGUUGGUGUGUUACUCCGUUCCAAGUCCAAUAAUGAAUAUGGCUUUAGCAUGGCCCAGAGAGGGUGAAAGGCCCGUGUGGACGGAGUGAUGCUCUACUGCGUUGACUUUGGAGUCGGGUUGUUUGAGAAUGCAGCCCAAAGUUGGUGGUAAACUCCAUCUAAGGCUAAAUACUGGCACGAGUCCGAUAGCGAACAAGUACCGUGAGGGAAAGUUGAAAAGUACUCUGAAGAGAGAGUUAACAGUGCGUGAAACCGCUUAGAGGCAAACGGGUGUAGUCAAGCUGCAAGCCCAUUGAAAUAGGGGGGCCAGAAUGGCGUGAGUCUGAGCACAUAGAUCUGGCAUGGAGGUGCGUCCGUAUGGCGUGUUCGGUUCGCAAGAACUGGAUCUGUGAGGUGGUUCGUCGCUGCAGGCCUUUGUGUCAGUUGUUCUGCUGGCCCUCUCACUUUCUCUGGGCGUAUGUCACGACCGUCGUUGCUGUCGGUCUGCUCCGUCUAAACCGCAUCAUGAGUAGUCUUGUGCUUCUCGUGGUAUGGAGGCAGGUAGCCGGUACAGCUUUAGUUGGACUGGUGUUAUUGCUGGGCGGAGUGGUACCUGUAACUGUGCAGUGCGGCGGGGCUGGCGGUGCAUUGUUUCCGGGCGUGCUAAAACAUUCUGGCGUGACGUGGGUCUGGCUGCUUGUUGCUAUCUAUGAUGGCCUUGUGGCGGCUCUGUUGCGGUUUGGAGUGUGGCUGCGUCUGGGCAUUCUUUGCGUUGAGCCAAUAGUCUGUGGCGUAGUGGUAGACGAUCCACCCGA
rnacentral:rRNA from 1 species